rnacentral:rRNA from 1 species
UUGCUUAUUUCUAGAGAUAGAAAGUUACUUCGGUACAUCGGUGACAGGUGGUGCAUGGUUGUCGUCAGCUCGUGUCGUGAGAUGUUGGGUUAAGUCCCGCAACGAGCGCAACCCCUAUUGUUAGUUGCCAUCAUUCAGUUGGGCACUCUAGCGAGACUGCCGGUAAUAAACCGGAGGAAGUGGGAUGACGUCAAAUCAUCAUGCCCCUUAUGACCUGGGCUACACACGUGCUACAAUGGUUGGUACAACGAGUUGCGAGUCGGUGACGGCGAGCUAAUCUCUUAAAGCCAAUCUCAGUUCGGAUUGUAGGCUGCAACUCGCCUACAUGAAGUCGGAAUCGCUAGUAAUCGCGGAUCAGCACGCCGCGGUGAAUACGUUCCCGGGCCUU